rnacentral:rRNA from 1 species
GACGCACCGUGGGUGGCGUGCUUAACACAUGCAAGUAGAACGUGAUUUUUAAGGACACCCCUUCGGGGACGGAAAUGAAAUGAAAGUGGCGAACGGGUGAGUAACACGUGAGCAACCCACCUCACACAGGGGGAUAGCCGUUGGAAACGACGAUUAAUACCGCAUGAGACCACAAAGCCACAUGGCUUAGGGGUAAAAGAUUUAUCGGUGUAAGAUGCGCUCGCGUCUGAUUAGCUAGUUGGAAGGGUAAAGGCCUACCAAGGCAACGAUCAGUAGCCGGUCUGAGAGGAUGAACGGCCACAUUGGAACUGAGACACGGUCCAAACUCCUACGGGAGGCAGCAGUGGGGAAUAUUGCACAAUGGGGGGAACCCUGAUGCAGCGACGCCGCGUGAGCGAAGAAGGUUUUCGAAUCGUAAAGCUCUGUCCUAUGAGAAGAUAAUGACGGUAUCAUAGGAGGAAGCCCCGGCUAAAUACGUGCCAGCAGCCGCGGUAAUACGUAUGGGGCGAGCGUUGUCCGGAAUUAUUGGGCGUAAAGGGUACGUAGGCGGUUUUUUAAGUCAGGUGUGAAAGCGUGAGGCUUAACCUCAUUAAGCACUUGAAACUGGAAGACUUGAGUGAAGGAGAGGAAAGUGGAAUUCCUAGUGUAGCGGUGAAAUGCGUAGAUAUUAGGAGGAAUACCGGUGGCGAAGGCGACUUUCUGGACUUUUACUGACGCUCAGGUACGAAAGCGUGGGGAGCAAACAGG